ACGCCUGCCCAGUGAAUAAUUAAACGGCCGCGGUACCCUAACCGUGCAAAGGUAGCAUAAUCAUUUGUCUACUAAUUAUAGACUAGUAUGAAAGGCAAAAUGAGGGUUUAACUGUCUCUUAUAGUAAGUCAAUUAAACUGAUCCCUCAGUAAAAAAGCUGAGAUAACACCAUAAGACCAGAAGACCCUGUGAAGCUUAAACUAAAGUAUUCAAACCCAAUAAUACCUAAUUUCGGUUGGGGCGACCUUGGAACAAAAAAGAACUUCCAAAUAACCAGACUAACAAUUAACCAACAGGCCUACAAGCCACUAAACGACCCAGCAAAGCUGAAAAACGGACCAAGUUACUCCAGGGAUAACAGCGCUAUCUUCUUCAAGAGCCCAUAUCAAAAAGAAGGUUUACGACCUCGAUGUUGGAUCAGGACAUCCUAAUGGUGUAGCCGCUAUUAAGGGUUCGUUUGUUCAACGAUUAACAGUCCCACGUGAUCUGA
rnacentral:rRNA from 1 species